GAUGAACGCUGGCGGCGUGCUUAACACAUGCAAGUCGAACGGAAAGGCCCAAGCUUGCUUGGGUACUCGAGUGGCGAACGGGUGAGUAACACGUGGGUGAUCUGCCCUGCACUUCGGGAUAAGCCUGGGAAACUGGGUCUAAUACCGGAUAGGACCACUUCUUGGAUGUUGUGGUGGAAAGUUUUCUCGGUGUGGGAUGAGCUCGCGGCCUAUCAGCUUGUUGGUGGGGUAAUGGCCUACCAAGGCGUCGACGGGUAGCCGGCCUGAGAGGGUGUACGGCCACAUUUGGACUGAGAUACGGCCCAGACUCCGACGGGAGGCAGCAGGGGGGAAUAUUGCACAAUGGGCGCAAGCCUGAUGCAGCGACGCCGCGUGGGGGAUGACGGCCUUCGGGUUGUAAACUCCUUUCGCUAGGGACGAAGCGUUUUUGUGACGGUACCUGGAGAAGAAGCACCGGCUAACUACGUG
rnacentral:rRNA from 1 species